rnacentral:tmRNA from 1 species
GGGGGCGAUCUGGAUUCGACUGGGCGGGCGAGGUUGAAGCAGCGUGCCGGGGUUGAUCGGUUGGCCUCGUUAACAAGCCGAUCACACAAAUAACUGCCGAGCAUUCUUAUGCUCUCGCUGCCUAAUUAACUAGGCAACGCCCGCGGCCAUGACGCCGAUAAUGGGUUCCGCGGGCCGCCAUCGGCUGGACGUUUCCAUGAUUCGCGGAAGUCGUGGAAGCAGUCGAGAUCAAAUUUCCGCUGGCCGCGUCCGGGUUGUCGCUGAACCGUCCGCGGCGAGAUUCAAUCAGCGACUGCGCACGGAGCGGCUUCCUCCAGACUUGUCGCAGGACGCGGGUUCGAUUCCCGCCGCCUCCACCA